rnacentral:rRNA from 15 species
AAGGAAGUUGGGGGCAAUAUCAGGUCUGUGAUGCCCUUAGAUGUUCUGGGCCGCACGCGUGUUACACUGACGCAUUCAUCAAGCGCCACACCUUGGCUCGAGAGGCCUCGGUAAUCUUGAAAGUGCGUCGUGUUAGGGAUAGAUUAUUGUAAUUAUUAGUCUUGAACGAGGAAUUUCUAGUAAACGCGAGUCAUCAACUCGCAUUGAUUACGUCCCUGUCCUUUGUACACACCGCCCGUCGCUACUACCGAUUGAAUCAUUUGGUGAGGCUCACGGACUGUCGUGCAUCCUUCCUCGUGUUGGUUGUGCUUCUUGGGAAGUGAUACAAACCUGAUGAUUUAGAGGAAGUAAAAGUCGUAACAAGGUUUCCG